UGAGGAAUAUUGGUCAAUGGGCGGAAGCCUGAACCAGCCAAGUCGCGUGAGGGAAGACGGUCCUAUGGAUUGUAAACCUCUUUUGCAGGGGAGCAAGACGCGGUACGUGUACCGUGCUGGAGAGUACCCUGAGAAAAAGCAUCGGCUAACUCCGUGCCAGCAGCCGCGGUAAUACGGAGGAUGCGAGCGUUAUCCGGAUUUAUUGGGUUUAAAGGGUGCGUAGGCGGACUGGUAAGUCAGCGGUAAAAAUGCGGUGCUCAACGCCGUAGUGCCGUUGAAACUGCCGGUCUUGAGUGAGCGAGAAGUAUGCGGAAUGCGUGGUGUAGCGGUGAAAUGCUUAGAUAUCACGAAGAACUCCGAUUGCGAAGGCAGCCUGCUGGACUGUAACUGACGCUGAUGCUCGAAAAGUGUGGGUAUCAAACAGGAUUAGAUACC
rnacentral:rRNA from 1 species